rnacentral:rRNA from 1 species
UAACAGAGGUCUCGAGCGUUGUUCGGAUUCAUUGGGCGUAAAGGGUGCGUAGGUGGCGUGGUAAGUCUGGUGUGAAAUCCCGGGGCUCAACCCCGGAACUGCACUGGAUACUGCCAUGCUUGAGUACUGGAGAGGAGAUUGGAAUUUACGGUGUAGCAGUGAAAUGCGUAGAUAUCGUAAGGAAGACCAGUGGCGAAGGCGAAUCUCUGGACAGUUACUGACACUGAGGCACGAAGGCCAGGGGAGCAAACGGG